CACGUAGGGUGCGAGCGUUGUCCGGAAUUAUUGGGCGUAAAGAGCUCGUAGGCGGUGUGUCGCGUCGGCCGUGAAAACCUGCAGCUUAACUGUGGGCUUGCGGUCGAUACGGGCAUCACUGGAGUUCGGCAGGGGAGACUGGAAUUCCUGGUGUAGCGGUUGAAAUGCGCAGAUAUCAGGAGGAACACCGGUGGCGAAGGCGGGUCUCUGGGCCGAUACUG
rnacentral:rRNA from 1 species